rnacentral:rRNA from 1 species
AUUGAACGCUGGCGGCAGGCCUAACACAUGCCAGUCGAACGAGUGGCGGACGGGUGAGUAAUGUCUGGGAAACUGCCUGAUGGAGGGGGAUAACUACUGGAAACGGUAGCUAAUACCGCCUACCUUCACAUUUUCCCAGAUUGGAUUAGCUAGUUGGUGGGGUAACGGCUAACCAAGGCGACGAUCCCUAGCUGGUCUGAGAGGAUGACCAGCAACACUGGAACUGAGACACGGUCCAGACUCCACAGGGAGGGAGCAGUGGAGAAGAUUGGACAAGGGGCGAAAGCCUGAUGCAGACAUGCCGGGGGUAUGAAGAGGGCCUGCGGGUUGUAAAGUACUUUCAGCGGGGAGGCGUUACCCGAAGAAGAAGAACCGGCUAACUCCGUGACAGCAGCCGCGGUAAUAC